AGGUAUCAGAGCAAGAACCACAUGGACAGGAGGUCGGCUGUGAUCUAGGACCAGUAUUCAGGUAUCAGAGCCAGAACCACAUGGACCGGAGGUCGGCUGUGAUCUAAGACCAGUAGUCCCAGUAGUCCCAGUAGUCCCUCAGGUAUCAGAGCGAGAACUGCAUGGACCGGAGGUCGGCUGUGAUCUAGGACCAGUAGUCCCAGUAGUCCCUCAGGUAUCAGAGCCAGAACCACAUGGACCGGAGGUCGGUUGUGAUCUAGGACCAGAAUUUGCCAAUAUCUAUCCCCUCCCCGGGUGUUUUCAUUGAUUUUUUUCAUACUUUUUUUGCA